CACUAGAGUUUUGCUCCUGGGACGGGACGUCCGAGAGGUUGUGCUUUUGGUGUUAUAAAUGAAGUUCAUCAUUAAACCCAAGAACACAGAGUGAGGCAGAGGAAGAUUUGAUACACACAGAAGAGGAGAGAGCAAUGUGAAGAUGGUGGCAGAGAUGGGACUGAUGAAGCCACCAGAAGCUGGAAGACAUAAGGAUCCGAUUCUCCCCUGGAGCAUCUGGAAGAAGCAAGGUCCUGUCAACAUUGUGCUUUUAGUCAUUGAAAUGAAUAUUGAACAGAAUCCUGUCCCCUAGCACUAGUAGAGAAUAAAGUUAUGUUGUUUUAAGCCACCAAUUUAUGAUGAUUUCUUAUGGCAGCCACGGGAUACUAAUUUACCUUCUCAGAUGAU
rnacentral:lncRNA from 10 species